rnacentral:rRNA from 1 species
CCUACGGGAGGCAGCAGUGGGGAAUAUUGGUCAAUGGCCGAAAGCCUGAUCCAGCGACGCCGCGUGAAGGAAGAAGGCUUUCGGUAUGUAAACUUCUUUUAGCAGGGAAGAAAAAGACGGUACGUGACUAAGAAGCCCCGGCUAACUACGAACCAGCAGCCGCGGUACUACGGAGGGGGCAGGCGUUAUCCGGAUUAACUGGAUGUAAAGGGAGCGUAGGCGGUUUAGCAAGUCAGAAGUGAAAGCCCGGGGCUCAACUCCGGGACUGCCGUUGAAACUGUUGAACUUGAGUGCAGGAGAGGUAAGUGGAAUUCGUAGUGUAGCGGUGAAAUGCGUAGAUAUUACGAGGAACACCAGUGGCGAAGGCGGCUUACUGGACUGUAAAUGACGCUGAGGCUCGAAAGCGUGGGGAGCAAACAGGAUUAGAUACCCGAGUAGUC